rnacentral:rRNA from 1 species
CAGUAGCCGCGGUAAUACGAAGGGGGCUAGCGUUGUUCGGAAUUACUGGGCGUAAAGCGCACGUAGGCGGACAUUUAAGUCAGGGGUGAAAUCCCGGGGCUCAACCCCGGAACUGCCUUUGAUACUGGGUGUCUAGAGUAUGGAAGAGGUGAGUGGAAUUCCGAGUGUAGAGGUGAAAUUCGUAGAUAUUCGGAGGAACACCAGUGGCGAAGGCGGCUCACUGGUCCAUUACUGACGCUGAGGUGCGAAAGCGUGGGGAGCAAACAGGAUUAGAUACCCCAGUAGUCCCUGUCUCUUAUAU